CUUUAUCUCAUUUUAUAGUGUUUGACUGGAAGUCUAUUUUAUUUGACAUGAGUAUAGCUACUCCUGCUCUGCUCUGGUUUCCACAUGCAUGGAAAAUAUGUUUCCAUUGUUUUACUUUCAUUCUACGUUUGCUCUUACAGAGGAAGUGAGUUUCUUAUGGACAGUAUAUAAAGAGGUCCUGUUUGGGUCUUGUUGUUGUUUAUAGUGGUUAUUGCUUCUAUGUGUGUUUUUCAAAUCUAUUCAGCCUAUGCCUUUUGAUUGGGAAAUGCGAUCUAUUUACAUUCAAGCUUAAAUAAUUACCUCAAGCAUAUCUUAUAAAACAGGUCUGAGAUUGAAAAGCUCCCUCAGUUUUUGUUUGUCUGGAACCGACUUUAUUUCUUCUUCAUUUCUAAAGGGCAGCUCUGCCAGGUAAACUGUUUUUGUUUUUGUUUUUGUUUUCAGCACUGUAAUAUGACAUACCACCCUCUCCUGGUCUGUAAAGUUUCUGCUGAAAAUCUGCUACUAGCCCUAUUGAAAAUUUCUUAUAUGUGAUUUGCUUCUUUUCUAUUGGCAAUUUCACAAUCCUCUCUUUGUCUCUGAUUUUUGACAGUUUGAUUAUAAUUCGUACUAAUCUUGUUUAAAUUUAGUCUUACUGGAGACCUUUAAGCUUCCAAUUCCUAAAUAUUUCUAGGAUUUCCAAGAUUUAGAAAGUUUUUUGCUACUUUUUCUUAAUCUUUCCACCAUUUUUUCUCUUUUCCUAUGUGAACUCAUAUUUGCUCUUUUGAUGAUGUCUCAUGAAUUCUGUAAGCUUUCUGUAAGCCUUCCUUAUUUCUUCUUAUAUUUUUUCUCUUCUCUCCUCUGGCUGUAUACUGUCUAAGAACUUGUAUUUGACUUUAC
rnacentral:lncRNA from 1 species